GACGAACGCUGGCGGCGUGCCUAAUACAUGCAAGUCGAACGCAGUGGGGACGGGUGAGUAACACGUGGGUAACCUCCCCUCAGAUGGGAUAACACUUGCAAACAGGUGCUAAACCUAUACUGAUGGAUGGACCCGCGGUGCAUUAGCUAGUUGGUGAGGUAACGGCGCACCAAGGCCACGAUGAAUAGCCGACCUGAGAGGUUGAUCGGACACACUGGGACUGAGACACGGCCCAGACUACUACGGGAGGCAGCAGUAGGGAAUCUUCGGCAAUGGACGAAAGUCGGACCGAGCAACGCCGCGUGAGUGAAGAAGGUUUUCGGAUCGUAAAACUCUGUUGUUAGAGAAGCGGUAUCUAACCAGAAAGCCACGGCUAACUACGUGCCAGCAGCCGCGGUAAUUC
rnacentral:rRNA from 1 species